rnacentral:rRNA from 1 species
GACGGGGCCGCACAAGCGGUGGAGUAUGUGGUUUAAUUCGACGCAACGCGCAGAACCUUUACCUGGUCUUGACAUCCCGGGAAUCUUUUCUGAAAGGAGAGAGUGCCUCGGCAAGAGGAGCCUGGUGACAGGUGCUGCAUGGCUGUCGUCAGCUCGUGUCGUGAGAUGUUGGGUUAAGUCCCCGCAACGAGCGCAACCCCUAUCUUUAGUUGCCAUCAUUGAGUUGGGCACUCUAAAGAGACUGCCGGUGUCAAACCGGAGGAAGUGGGGAUGACGUCAAGUCCUCAUGGCCUUUAUGUACCAGGGCUACACACGUACUACAAUGGCCGGUACAAAGGGCAGCGACACAGCGAUGUGAAGCCAAUCCCGAAAAGCCGGUCUCAGUCCGGAUUGGAGUCUGCAACUCGACUCCGUGAAGUUGGAAUCGCUAGUAAUCGCGGAUCAGCACGCCGCGGUGAAUACGUUCCCGGGCCUU